CUGUAAUGGAUUCCCAAAGCUCCAUGGGAAUGAUCCAGGAAUAAUUACUUCCUUUUUGCAGAUGGAGUCUUUCUCAACUCAUGAGCAUCACUAAGCCAUUCAUCUUGGAGAAGCUGUUCUGGUUGAAACAAGGACGUCACCAGUCCUACUGCAGACGCCACCAGUCCUGCUUCUUCCUGUCACCCAGCAAAAAUGGAUGCAUGAGUGUUUUUUUGGGUAACACGUCUGAAGACAGAAUUGGGAAAGAUCUGGCCAAAGCGAGGCAAUGAGUUCCUGCUAUUAAUGGAAUGGGGGCACAAAUAAAAAGUAUCAUUAAAGCAUUCCUGCGUUC
rnacentral:lncRNA from 1 species